ensembl:snoRNA small nucleolar RNA SNORA17
CUUACUUGCCCUUAGAGGCAUUGCAGGUGUGGCUGGUGUGUCACAAGUGUGUCAGUAGGUGGCAGGGAGGACAGACACUAUGUCUAUGUUCAGAGUUCUGACCUGUGAACACCUGAAUAAUUAGUAGCCUAAGACU